CUGUGUGUUGAAAUAGCAGAGCCUUGAGAUGAGAUCCUUGGAUUACUGUAUGGAAGAGAGCCACCCAGUAAAGACACUCAACUCACAUUGAACUUUGCAUGAGUGAGAAAAUCUCUGUUGUGGUCUUUGUGAACAAAACCUCACCUCUUUUGAAGGGAAAGCACAGAGGGGAGGCUGGAGCAGAGUAGAAGUUUGAGUGGAGGAGAAGAGUAUAUUUACCGUUAGCUGUGCCUUUGGAGAUGAUGAAGACUCAUUGCUUGUGAGUAGUGGAGCUGCAUUCUGACCCAAGUAAAUUCAACUCCAAAGCUCAUGCCCUUAAAAAGAAAAAAGUCUGAAAUCUGGUAUUCUCUACAGCAUUCAAGUAUAGACACAUGGAAGUUUCUAGAUAUGUGGAAUAUAAUCCAGCUUUGAAUAUGACAUUUUAAUAAAGUUGUUUCUCUU